AACAGGAUUAGAUACCCUGGUAGUCCACGCUGUAAACGAUGUCGAUUUGGAGGUUGUGCCCUUGAGGCGUGGCUUCCGGAGCUAACGCGUUAAAUCGACCGCCUGGGGAGUACGGCCGCAAGGUUAAAACUCAAAUGAAUUGACGGGGGCCCGCACAAGCGGUGGAGCAUGUGGUUUAAUUCGAUGCAACGCGAAGAACCUUACCUACUCUUGACAUCCAGAGAACUUUCCAGAGAUGGAUUGGUGCCUUCGGGAACUCUGAGACAGGUGCUGCAUGGCUGUCGUCAGCUCGUGUUGUGAAAUGUUGGGUUAAGUCCCGCAACGAGCGCAACCCUUAUCCUUUGUUGCCAGCGGUUCGGCCGGGAACUCAAAGGAGACUGCCAGUGAUAAACUGGAGGAAGGUGGGGAUGACGUCAAGUCAUCAUGGCCCUUACGAGUAGGGCUACACACGUGCUACAAUGGCGUAUACAAAGAGAAGCGACCUCGCGAGAGCAAGCGGACCUCAUAAAGUACGUCGUAGUCCGGAUUGGAGUCUGCAACUCGACUCCAUGAAGUCGGAAUCGCUAGUAAUCGUAGAUCAGAAUGCUACGGUGAAUACGUUCCCGGGCCUUGUACACACCGCCCGUCACACCAUGGGAGUGGGUUGCAAAAGAAGUAGGUAGCUUAACCUUCGGGAGGGCGCUUACCACUUUGUGAUUCAUGACUGGGGUGAAGUCGUAACAAGGUAACCGUAGGGGAACCUGCGGCUGGAUCACCUCCUU
rnacentral:rRNA from 1 species